GGCCUAACACAUGCAAGUCGAGGGGUAUAGUUCUUCGGAAUUAGGGACCGGCGCACGGGUGCGUAACGCGUAUGCAAUCUACCUUUUACAGAGGGAUAGCCCAGAGAAAUUUGGAUUAAUACCUCAUAGUAUUAUGAAAUGGCAUCAUUUUAUAAUUAAAGUCACAACGGUAAAAGAUGAGCAUGCGUCCCAUUAGCUAGUUGGUAAGGUAACGGCUUACCAAGGCUACGAUGGGUAGGGGUCCUGAGAGGGAGAUCCCCCACACUGGUGCUGAGACACGGACCAGACUCCUACGGGAGGCAGCAGUGAGGAAUAUUGGACAAUGGGCGCAAGCCUGAUCCAGCCAUGCCGCGUGCAGGAUGACGGUCCUAUGGAUUGUAAACUGCUUUUAUACGAGAAGAAACACUCCUUCGUGAAGGAGCUUGACGGUAUCGUAAGAAUAAGGAUCGG
rnacentral:rRNA from 1 species